rnacentral:tRNA from 2 species
GCAACCUUGGCCGAUCGGAGAGGCAACGAACUCAUAAUUCGUCUGAGCUGGGUUCAACUCCCAGAGGUUGCA